rnacentral:rRNA from 1 species
AGAGUUUGAUCCUGGCUCAGAGCGAACGCUGGCGGCGUGCUUAACACAUGCAAGUCGAGCGGAAAGGCCCCUUCGGGGGUACUCGAGCGGCGAACGGGUGAGUAACACGUGGGUAACCUGCCCCAAAGCCCGGGAUAACGUUUCGAAAGGAACGCUAAUACCGGAUGUUGUGCAACCUGCCAAGCGGGUUGUACCAAAGGUAGCUUCGGCCUCCGCUUUGGGAUGGGCCCGCGCAGCAUAAGCUUGUUGGUGGGGUAAUGGCCUACCAAGGCUACGAUGCUUAGCUGGUCUGAGAGGACGAUCAGCCACACUGGGACUGAGAUACGGCCCAGACUCCUACGGGAGGCAGCAGUGGGGAAUCUUGCGCAAUGGGCGAAAGCCUGACGCAGCAACGCCGCGUGAGCGAAGAAGGCCUUCGGGUUGCAAAGCUCUGUCAGGAGGGACGAAGCCACUCGGGUUAAUAGCCCAGAGGGUGACGGUACCUCCAGAGGAAGGUCCGGCUAACUACGUGCCAGCAGCCGCGGUAAUACGUAGGGACCUAGCGUUGUCCGGAAUUAUUGGGUGUAAAGAGCGUGUAGGCGGCUUGCCAAGUCCGAUGUGAAAACUCGGGGCUUAACCCCGAGCCUGCAUUGGAAACUGGCUUGCUUGAGCCCGGAAGAGGGGACUGGAAUUCCUGGUGUAGCGGUGAAAUGCGCAGAUAUCAGGAAGAACACCCGUGGCGAAGGCGGGUCCCUGGGACGGUACUGACGCUGAGACGCGAAAGCGUGGGGAGCGAACAGGAUUAGAUACCCUGGUAGUCCACGCCGU